ACUCGCCUCACCGCCGUCCACCCUGUGGCCUUGGGAGGGCAGGAAGGAGUCACCGUGGGAGACGGAGCGCACCGGCGUGGAGUGGGCGCUGUCGCGAAGAGACUCCAGACCUGACAAGAAAUAGGACAAAAAAGCUGGUGCAUGAAAAAGUGAUACACCAAAUAAUUUAGGGAAACUAUUUUAAAAUUUGAUUUUUAAAAAAAAGUUGCAUUGAAAUUUGAACUAAACUUAGAGAAAGCAAAUAAUUUAGUCAUUAAAUUAUUUCAAAAGCAGGUUAUCUAAAUAUUUUGAUUUGUUUAAAAACAAUAACAAAAACAGAUUACAUUGAAUAACAAGGCAGAAAAUAUUCAAGAAUUAAAAAUAUCUAUUUUAGAUAAACUAAUCCUUUUAUUUUAAAAGGAAUUUUAAAAAAAUGAUUAUUUGGACGAUAAACCAUUUAAAAUACAGAACUAAUUAAACUAAGUAUUUUGAAAAAUAACAAAAUUAAUUAAAAAAAUGAUUUUAUAUAAAUCAAACUGAUUAUUUAAAACAACCAUUUUAAAAACCAGAUUAUUUCUAACUGCUAAAUAAAUGUGAUUGGACCGGUUAUCUUAAUGUCCCAAAUAAAUGAAAUUAUUUUAGGAACAGAUACUGAAAAUUGAACGUAUUUCAAAAAUCAUUACAGUGGUUGCAGUUCUUCAAAAGUCGACUUAUAUUUUAGAUCAGUUUAAAUAUUCCUAAGAGUAGAUCGUUUUAAAAACAAAUAAUUUCAAUUUACAAAAUUCAUGAAACUACUUUUAAAACAGGUUUAAUUUAAAACAAUCAUAUUUUGGGAACAGAACGUUUUCGACACAACAAAAAUACCAAAUUAAUUUUGAAGCACGGCCAAGUACAUACGAUUAUUUACUCAAAUUAAUUUUGAAAAUGUAAUCAAAACACAUAAAACAGUUAAAAAUUCAUGAAAUUUUUCAUGUUUGACACUAGCAUCAGCGCAAACUUUAAUGUUCAGAAUUGCAUGUAGUGUUUGUACAUGCUUUGCCACACGCAAAAAUGAUACAAUGCAAUUAAAAAUUUCUGAGAUGAAGCAGGAGCUCUUGCACAAAAAUAUAGAAUGUGAUGAUUGUUACUUACGGCCCCCAUUAGGGAGCUCAUUCACCCACCUAACAGAUUGUUCUUGUCUGCUCUGUGUACAUUUGAAUAAUCUAAUGAUCUGUGUAGCACUGGGACCAAUAAAUCUUGCAUAGCAAU